rnacentral:rRNA from 1 species
UACAGAGGGUGCGAGCGUUGUUCGGAAUUAUUGGGCGUAAAGCGCUGGUAGGUGGCUUGUUAAGUCGCGUGUGAAAGCUCCAGGCUCAACCUGGAAAGUGCGCGCGAAACUGGCGAGCUUGAGUGCCGGAGAGGGUCGCGGAAUUCCCGGUGUAGAGGUGAAAUUCGUAGAUAUUGGGAAGAACACCGGUGGCGAAGGCGGCGACCUGGUCCUUGACUGACGCUGAGGCGCGAAAGCGUGGGGAGCAAACAGG